UACGUAGGGGGCAAGCGUUGUCCGGAAUUACUGGGCGUAAAGGGCGUGUAGGUGGGAAGUUAAGUCAUGGGUGAAAACGGAGGGCUCAACCUUCCGACUGCCUAUGAAACUGGUUUUCUUGAGGGCAGGAGAGGAAAGUGGAAUUCCUAGUGUAGCGGUGAAAUGCGUAGAUAUUAGGAGGAACACCAGUGGCGAAGGCGACUUUCUGGACUGUCCCUGACACUGAGGCGCGAAAGCUAGGGGAGCAAACGGG
rnacentral:rRNA from 1 species